CCUACGGGAGGCAGCAGUGAGGAAUUUUCCGCAAUGGGCGAAAGCCUGACGGAGCAAUACCGCGUGAGGGAUGAAGGAUUUUGGUCUGUAAACCUCUUUUCUCAAGAAAGAAGUUCUGACGGUACUUGAGGAAUAAGCAUCGGCUAACUCCGUGCCAGCAGCCGCGGUAAUACGGGGGAUGCAAGCGUUAUCCGGAAUGAUUGGGCGUAAAGCGCCUGUAGGUUGUUUAUUAAGUCCGUUGUUAAAGCCUAGGGCUUAACCCUAGAAAAGCAAUGGAAACUAGUAGACUAGAGUAUGGCAGGGGUAGAGGGAAUUUCUAGUGUAGCGGUGAAAUGCGUAGAUAUUAGAAAGAACACCGGUGGCGAAAGCGCUCUACUGGACCAUUACUGACACUCAGAGGCGAAAGCUAGGGUAGCAAAAGGGAUUAGAUACCCCUGUAGUCCUAGCCGUAAACGAUGGAUACUAGAUGUUGUGCAUUAUGUACAGUAUCGUAGCUAACGCGUUAAGUAUCCGCCUGGGGAGUACGCCGCAAGGGUGAAACUCAAAGGAAUUGACGGCNGAGAGNGCGACGACGACACGAGGAGAG
rnacentral:rRNA from 1 species